rnacentral:misc_RNA from 1 species
GAACCUCUCAAAGGGCUGAGACUUUGUUGUCUCAGUCACCCUUUGGAUUUGGGUCUUGCCGUGAAUUUUUAUCCAUCUCGGCUCACCUUGAAAGUAUUAGCAAGCCUUAUUCACAAAAGCCAUUUGAUGAAGGCGUUCUAAAGUUGAUUCUUUUACGUCUGAAUCAUCAACAUGUCUCAGUGCUUUGAAACUUGCUUCCAAUCAUCCUUUAAAUAGGAUGGGCUCAAUGCCCUUUCAAUGUAU